CGGUUAUCUAAUUUUUGAUUUUCCAUUUUUCCAUUUCUACUGGAAAUAGGAGUCGAGAAGAUAAGAGUUUAAAGGAUUCGAGUCCGCGGCCAGAAGUUCCCACGGCCUGUUGUAAUGGCUCAGGCUCUCGUUGCUUCCUCUUCCUCCUCCUUCCUCCUAAAUGCUUCAGCUGCCAAAACCGCCAGGCCUCAGGUUUCUGCUUGUUUUCUUCCGCGUUCUAGAGUCUCACAGAUCGCCUCUUCCUUCAAAAGCGGCUCUCCUCUUGUUGUUAGGCUUGCUUCGAUGAGAAAUUUUGAAUGCCGAUCAGCGUGGGUUCCCAUUAGGUGUGAGCAGGGAGCCAAAGAGAGUAGUGGAUUAGAUGUGUGGCUUGGUCGUCUUGCAAUGGUUGGCUUUGCCACGGUAAUCACUGUUGAGAUUGUUACUGGGAAGGGGCUUCUCGAGGUUAUAAAGUUACUGAACUCAUGGGGAUUCUAUGUUCCAGCUUUUAGCUCAUUCUCGGAUUGUAUGAAGUUAAAAUCUUAUUCGGUUGAAUAGCAUUGGAAGAACGUCAGCGUAAGAAGAUACGGCCCGCUAGCGAGCCAUCAAUUGAGGCUACUAGCAAUGCAUGACCCCCAGCUCAGCUUCACCCGCACAUUGCUUCUUUGCAUGAAUUUUGGGUUUGUGACGCCAUUUCCUUCGUUAGCAUUGGUUGUUACAAGCCUGAUUGGAAUUUUGGCAGCAGUGUUUAUAUUUCAGUCUGCAGCUCGAGAUUGAUCCUUCUUUGAAUGAUAAAUUUUUAAGUGUUACUUUUGAUGAUUGACUGAACAUGUACUAUGCUUAUGUAAAGAUAUUAAGGCUCUGUUCCGUACAAUAGUGUUCAUAUUGUGUACUACUCUUUAACAUUCACAUAUGAGUUGUGAUAUAAUUCAGUUCUUAUGCAUUCAAGUUA